rnacentral:rRNA from 1 species
UACGAAGGGUGCAAGCGUUACUCGGAAUCACUGGGCGUAAAGCGUGCGUAGGCGGUUUCUUAAGUCUGUCGUGAAAGCCCUGGGCUCAACCUGGGAACGGCGAUGGAUACUGGGAAGCUAGAAUGUGAGAGAGGAUGGUGGAAUUCCCGGUGUAGCGGUGAAAUGCGUAGAGAUCGGGAGGAACACCAGUGGCGAAGGCGGCCAUCUGGCUCAACAUUGACGCUGAGGCACGAAAGCGUGGGGAGCGAACAGG